CCGGCGAGCGAUGUUCGGCCUGCAAGCGGGCGUCGUGCGUGGUGAGGCGGAUGGGGAGCGACGCGCACCUCACCUCACCUCUACGACGACCCCGACCAUCCUCAUCGACCACCUUGUCCUCCGCAGAGUUCUAUUACCUGCUUUUCUGGGUGUUGCCAUGUCCCCUAUUAUGCCAGCCUGCCAUGCUCAUUGAAGCCAUUGCCAUGAGGGUUGGUGAACGGUAAGCUUGCUGGAAGCCUCAUGAUUGACUUGACCAAUGACCAUGCUAAGUCCUCGUGAUUGACUUGACCAAUGACCAUGCAAGUCCUCGCAGACCAGCUAAGGUGCACUUACCUAUUCUCCUAGCCUGGGACGGUCCCAAAGCUUAUCUAAGCAUAAGCUGAAUUUCUGUACUAAAGUUGUGAGUCUGAUAUUGGCACUAGCACCACCCCUUUUUGUUAA